GGGGAAUAUUGGGCAAUGGGGGAAACCCUGACCCAGCAACGCCGCGUGAGGGAAGAAGGUCUUCGGAUUGUAAACCUCUGUCCUAUGGGAAGAAAACAAUGACUGUACCAUAGGAGGAAGCUCCGGCUAACUACGUGCCAGCAGCCGCGGUAAUACGUAGGGAGCAAGCGUUGUCCGGAAUUACUGGGCGUAAAGGGUGCGUAGGCGGCGCAGUUAGUCAGAAGUGAAAUAUCGGGGCUUAACCUCGGGACUGCUUCUGAUACUGCUGUGCUUGAGUGCAGGAGAGGUAAGUGGAAUUCCUAGUGUAGCGGUGGAAUGCGUAGAUAUUAGGAGGAACACCAGUGGCGAAGGCGACUUACUGGACUGUAACUGACGCUGAGGCACGAAAGCGUGGGUAGCAAAC
rnacentral:rRNA from 1 species